ACGCUUUCAUUCAAAAUGAAGUCCAACCGAGAAAGCAGCCUGUCACUGGAGCAACUGAGGUUCAAGGCCCUUGCCGAUGGACCCUAUGAUGACAUCACUCUGCUGACCGCGGGAUUGGUGGAUGCAGCCACACACAUCUCCCCUGCCGGUGGUAAAAUUAAAGACGUAACUCAAUCUUCCCCACUCCAGAAUCGACGCCUUCUUGCAAAGCUCAUCAAGGACACUCCUCAAGGACAUCAGUAAGUGGCACUGGCAGUUCACAUAUCCUGGGUUGCAGUUCAAACUGCACUGCCUGCAAAACAAGGGUUUCCUGGGUGACCCAGCCUCACCCCUUAAUCCCAAGGCACGGUAGGCUAACUGCUGUCUCUUAACUGACCGCAGCAUGUGCUUAUGGCUUCAUCUAUGCUCCCGGUGAUGGACAGGCAUCAUGUAGAGUGUGCAUCCCAGCCUUGUGCCUUUUGCCACACUGUCCAGGUUAAGUGGUUGGAAGAUGGAUGAAUGAAUUGUUAGGUGGAUGUGAGUGUAGGCAGUUACUAAAGAACACAGAGCCGAGUUGUCCAUUGUGAGGAAGUGAGUUGCCUGCUUACAGGACCAUAUUCUGCGGGUUGACAUACAGCUUCUGUGUAUUGUGAACCUCAGGCAGAACUUUCCAGAAAGCAACGUUUCCCAGGUUCCAAUUACAGCUUGGCCCUUCCUGUGACAUUUAUAGCACUGUUCCUGCCUCACUGCUUAAUUGCUUUUGUUAUCGCUGCUGUUCCCUGGAUGUUUGUGUCGUUCACGGAGACUGGCUGUCUUCCCCCCCCCCCCCAUUCCCGACCCGCCUCUCAACACCAACCCCAGCCAG